rnacentral:tRNA from 1 species
UCUCUAAUAGCUCAGUUGGUAAAGAAUCUGCCUGCGGUGCAGGAGACCCUGGUUCGAUUCCUGGGUAGGGAA